UACGUAGGUGGCAAGCGUUUAUCCGGAAUUAUUGGGCGUAAAGCGCGCGCAGGCGGUUUCUUAAGUCUGAUGUGAAAGCCCACGGCUCAACCGUGGAGGGUCAUUGGAAACUGGGGAACUUGAGUGCAGAAGAGAAAAGCGGAAUUCCACGUGUAGCGGUGAAAUGCGUAGAGAUGUGGAGGAACACCAGUGGCGAAGGCGGCUUUUUGGUCUGUAACUGACGCUGAGGCGCGAAAGCGUGGGGGAGCAAACAGG
rnacentral:rRNA from 1 species